rnacentral:rRNA from 1 species
UGGGGAAUAUUGCACAAUGGGCGCAAGCCUGAUGCAGCCAUGCCGCGUGUGUGAAGAAGGCCUUCGGGUUGUAAAGCACUUUCAGCGAGGAGGAAGGUGGUGAACUUAAUACGUUCAUCAAUUGACGUUACUCGCAGAAGAAGCACCGGCUAACUCCGUGCCAGCAGCCGCGGUAAUACGGAGGGUGCAAGCGUUAAUCGGAAUUACUGGGCGUAAAGCGCACGCAGGCGGUUUGUUAAGUCAGAUGUGAAAUCCCCGGGCUCAACCUGGGAACUGCAUUUGAAACUGGCAAGCUAGAGUCUCGUAGAGGGGGGUAGAAUUCCAGGUGUAGCGGUGAAAUGCGUAGAGAUCUGGAGGAAUACCGGUGGCGAAGGCGGCCCCCUGGACGAAGACUGACGCUCAGGUGCGAAAGGCGUGGGGCAGCAAACAGGAUUAGAUACCCUGGUAGUCCACGCUGUAAACGAUGUCGA